GACGAACGCUGGCGGCGUGCUUAACACAUGCAAGUCGAACGGAAAGGCCCUGCUUUUGUGGGGUGCUCGAGUGGCGAACGGGUGAGUAACACGUGAGUAACCUGCCCUUGACUUUGGGAUAACUUCAGGAAACUGGGGCUAAUACCGGAUAGGAGCUCCUGCUGCAUGGUGGGGGUUGGAAAGUUUCGGCGGUUGGGGAUGGACUCGCGGCUUAUCAGCUUGUUGGUGGGGUAGUGGCUUACCAAGGCGUUGACGGGUAGCCGGCCUGAGAGGGUGACCGGCCACAUUGGGACUGAGAUACGGCCCAGACUCCUACGGGAGGCAGCAGUGGGGAAUAUUGCACAAUGGGCGGAAGCCUGAUGCAGCGACGCCGCGUGCGGGAUGACGGCCUUCGGGUUGUAAACCGCUUUCGGCUGUGACGAAGCGUGAGUGACGGUAAUGGGUAAAGAAGCACCGGCUAACUACGUG
rnacentral:rRNA from 1 species